AUGUCUAUAGUCUUUGUUUUACUCCAAGGGAAAUGUUCUAACUUUGUUGACUUCAUGUCAUCAAACAUAUCUCAUACGAUUGCGCGAACCCCUUCAUUCAUUUUUUUGCUUGUUUGCUAUUUUGCUAAACUUAAGAUAAUUUUCCCAAAAGAUUCAAUUUUUAAACUCACACAUUUUAAGUCAAAACUUCGACAAUAG